rnacentral:rRNA from 1 species
ACAGGUGGUGCAUGGUUGUCGUCAGCUCGUGUCGUGAGAUGUUGGGUUAGUCCGCACGAGCGCAACCCCUACUUGUUAGUUGUCCAUCAUUCAGUUGGGCACUCUAGCGAGACUGCCGGUAAUAAACCGGAGGAAGGUGGGAUGACGUCAAAUCAUCAUGCCCCUUAUGACCUGGGCUACACACGUGCUACAAUGGUUGGUACAACGAGUUGCGAGUCGGUGACGGCGAGCUAAUCUCUUAAAGCCAAUCUCAGUUCGGAUUGUAGGCUGCAACUCGCCUACAUGAAGUCGGAAUCGCUAGUAAUCGCGGAUCAGCACGCCGCGGUGAAUACGUUCCCGGGCCUU